UACGGUCACAUCACGUUCAAAUACUCGUUCCAAUACGUUCACCGAAGUUAAGCAACGUUGAUCCUGGAGAGUACCUAGAUGGGUGACCGCUUCGGAAUGUCAGAUGCUGUAAG